rnacentral:rRNA from 1 species
UACGGAGGGGGCGAGCGUUAUUCGGAAUUAUUGGGCGUAAAGGGCGCGUAGGCGGCUUCAUAAGUCAAAGGUGAAAUCCCUCGGCUCAACUGAGGAACUGCCUUUGAAACUGUGGAGCUUGAGGCCGGGAGGGGGUAGCGGAAUUCCCAGUGUAGCGGUGAAAUGCGUAGAUAUUGGGAGGAACACCAGUGGCGAAGGCGGCUACCCGGACCGGAACUGACGCUGAUGCGCGAAAGCGUGGGUAGCAAACAGG